AUGGCAUUAUGUUUUCAUCUUACAACAGGGCCUUCAAAUCCGGCGGUUAAAAGGAUGCAGGCUCAGGUUAAUCCACUCACCGCCCAAGCCAUUUGGAUCUUGGGCUGCUUUUUUUUGGGUGGCUCGUUGUUAGUCAAGCUUAACCCCUCACACCCCGAGCCCCUCCCGUGCUCCCCUCCCCUGCCCCGCUCGACGCACACCAGAGCUAACCCUAGCCACCGACGCCGCCGCCCCCGGAGAUCCCCGAAGAAUCCAAAGCCCCAAGGCAUGGCUCACCAGGGGCAGCAGCGGCGGCAGGGAGCAGCACCUCGGGUGCCCCUCGUCCCGCGGCCUCGUCAGGCCCCCCUCGUCCCGCCGCUGCUUCAGGCCCCGCUCGUCCCACCACCGGUUCAGGGCCCCCUCGUCCCGCCGCCGGCUCAGGUGGCAAGGCGAGCCAUAACGCAUGCUGACGUGGUUGACGCGUUUGAGGUCGUGAAGUGUGACUGGGCUCCGGUUCGUGCUGGGGUACCUGAGAUUGAGAACACUUUCUAUGAGUUUGACAAGAGAGGAGAUGAUACUAAAAAUCGUGGCGGGAACCUCAUAAAGAGACAUCUGUUCAAUAGGCGGAACCAUGUGGGUAAUAAGAGGCGUGAGAUUUGCCACUAUCUGCCUGCCUACAAGAAGUACGCGAUUCUGCUCAAGAAGCUGAGCAACGACCUGCAAGGCUUAGAGCACAGGCUGGACAAGAAACUGUUGGACUACAAUCAAUACAUGCCUGAGGCCCCAUUGACGAAUCCGGACCAUUUUUCGAGGUACCCAGAGUUGUUGAAGCCAGCAACGAAGGGGAAGAAGGCGACGAAGAAGUAG
rnacentral:rRNA from 1 species